rnacentral:tRNA from 1 species
GGGAAUGUGGCUUAGUGGUAGAGCGUUUGCCUAGCAUGCAUGAAGCCCUGGGUUUGAUUCCUCAGUACCA